CGGCAACAGCUCAAAUUUGAAAUCUGGCCCUCGGGUCCGAGUUGUAAUUUGUAGAGGACGCCUUUGGCGCGGUGCCUUCCGAGUUCCCUGGAACGGGACGCCUUAGAGGGUGAGAGCCCCGUACGGUUGGACACCAAGCCUCUGUAAGGCCCCUUCGAC
rnacentral:rRNA from 1 species